GUCAGUAUGGGUCCGUGGACAGGAGAGGCAGCCUGCAGAGAAGGGAUUCUGGAAGUCCCUGGUCCUGGAAGCCUCUGAACACUCGAGAGGUCACUGAAGUCACAGAGGUGACAGAGACGAUUGUUACAGAGAUUGUAGAGGUGACAGAGUAUCCUUCUUCAGGGAAAGGAGGUGACCCUAUUGUUACUAGAACUGUUAGAGUCCUUACUGGAGCUGCUGGGGAACUUGCAGAGGUGCAGAGUGAUGGUCAAUCGAGUUCAGACCAGGAAUCAAGUCUAGAUCAAUGGAAGGAUGGCAGAAGUGUUGUGACUCUGAAAGAUGAGUUCAGGGAUCCGUUGAAAUUCCAGCAAAAUCU